GACAGAGGGUGCAAACGUUGUUCGGAAUUACUGGGCGUAAAGCGUGUGUAGGCGGUCUCAUAAGUCGGAUGUGAAAGCCCCGGGCUCAACCCGGGAAGUGCAUUCGAAACUGCGAGGCUAGAGUUCGGCAGAGGGAAGCGGAAUUCCCGGUGUAGUGGUGAAAUGCGUAGAUAUCGGGAGGAACACCAGUGGCGAAGGCGGCUUCCUGGCCUGUUCUUGACGCUGAGGCGCGAAAGCUAGGGGAGCAAACGGG
rnacentral:rRNA from 1 species